ensembl:lncRNA
CACAGCCUGAGUGGGAUCCACUGGGGCCUACUUAUUGAAAUUUACAGGGUCAGAGACGUCUGGGGUUAUUCCAGGGUACCUGUGGGGACCUGAUAAAUAUUUGAGGAAUUAAAUGUAAAUCCUUCACAAAUCCAGGCAGAUGGCUGAAUCAGUGGGCAAGACAUCAGUCAGCCUGGAGGGAGUGCACAGAGACAAGUCACAGAGGCUGCGACCCAGGAGCCCCUGGAAGGGAUGAGAAAACCAGCGCCGGGGCAAGGGUCUUGAAGAUUGCCUGGAUUCCCUCUCCACGCCUAUAGGGCUACUAUCAGGAUCACCUGGAGCAUCUGUGAGAUGCAGAAGCUGAGGGCUGGGACAGGAGGCGGCUGCGGGCACAGCACCCCAGGAUGCAGAACAGAGAGAGUCCGUCUAGGCAGGAGGCUCAGGUUUGGAA